rnacentral:rRNA from 1 species
GUGUCAGCCGCCGCGGUAACACGUAGGGGGCGAGCGUUGUUCGGAAUUACUGGGCGUAAAGGGCAUGUAGGCGGUUUUGUAAGCCUGGCGUGAAAUUCUGCAGCUUAACUGUAGGACUGCGCUGGGAACUGCGAGACUGGAGUCACGGAGAGGGAGCCAGAAUUCCAGGUGUAGGGGUGAAAUCUGUAGAUAUCUGGAAGAAUACCAAUGGCGAAGGCAGGCUUCUGGCCGAUGACUGACGCUGAGGUGCGAAAGCGUGGGUAGCAAACAGGAUUAGAUACCCUGGUAGUCCACGCGGUAAACGAUGCACACUAGGUGCCGGGGCGGACGCUUCGGUGCCGGAGCCAACGUGGUAAGUGUGCCGCCUGGGGAGUAUGCUCGCAAGGGUGGA